GAUGAACGCUGGCGGCGUGCUUAACACAUGCAAGUCGAACGGGAUCCAAGGGGUGCUUGCACUUUUUGGUGAGAGUGGCGAACGGGUGAGUAACACGUGAGUAACCUGUCCUUUUCUUUGGGAUAAGCAUUCGAAAGGGUGUUUAAUACCUUAUGUUCUGUCUGCCUCGCAUGGGGUGGGUGGGAAAGGCUUUGGCCGGAUUUGGGUGGGCUCGCGGUCUAUCAGCUUGUUGGUGGGGUGAUGGCUUACCAAGGCUUUGACGGGUAGCCGGCCUGAGAGGGUGGUCGGCCACAUUGGGACUGAGAUACGGCCCAGACUCCUGCGGGAGGCAGCAGUGGGGGAAAUUGCACAAUGGGCGAAAGCCUGAUGCAGCGACGCCGCGUGGGGGAUGAAGGCCUUCGGGUUGUAAACUUCUUUUGCUCUGAACAAGGCAUGCCAGUGGGUGUGUUGAGUGUAGGGGUUGAUUAGCGCCGGCUAACUACGUG
rnacentral:rRNA from 1 species